AAUGACAUUAUCUAUCUAUGUGUCUUGACCAAAUUACGUGCCAGCAGUCGCGGUAAUACGUAAAAGACUAGUGUUAUUCAUCUUUAAUAGGUUUAAAGGGUACUUAGACGGUAAAUCAAGCCCUAAUAGGGAACUAAUAUACUAGAGUUUGAUGUAAGGAAGCAUGAAAGUACUGUUGGUGUAGAGAUAAAAUUCUAUCAUACCAAAUAUGGCACAGGUUUAGGCGAAAGCAUCCUCUUAUGUAAUAACUGACGUUGAAGGACGAAGGCUUUGUGUCUCGAACAGGAUUAGAUACCCCAGUAGUCUAAGCAGACAAUGAUGAAUGUCAUAGAUUAGAUUUAAUUUAUUCUAUAAAUGAAAGUGUAAGCAUUCCACCUCAAGAGUAAUUUGGCAACAUUGGAACUGAAAUCAUUAGACCGUUUCUGAAACCAGUAGUGAAGUAUGUUGUUUAAUUAGAUGGUACGCAAAAAACCUUACCACAAUUUGAAUUAGUAAUAUGUUUUCACAAGCGCUGCACGGCUGUCUACAGUUAAUGUCGUGAGAUUUUGGUUAGCUCCAUUAAAUUAACGC
rnacentral:rRNA from 1 species